UUAAUCUGUUAUCUCAAAGAUUCCUGGUUUGAAUUUUCUAACAUCAGAAAGGGUAGAGUGAAUCUGUUUGACACUGUUUAUUGUUCCUCAGGUAAUUCUAGCAGUGCAAAUGGUUGUGACUGAUGAUAGUUGGAUGGAUCCAACUGAGACAACAGAUCUUAGGAGUAUAAAUAUAAACACUGCUACAGGGUAAAACUAAGCUAAAUAGGGUUGGCUGGUGGGGGACUGAUGGGUUGUCAAAGCUUUGCAGUUUGUGCCAUUGUGUCUUAUAUAUGUGUUCUUUGUAAUUACCAUCAACAGUUUACGACAUUUACAAUGAAAGCUUCUUUCAUGCUUUUUUCACUCCUCCAGUUCAUGUGCUUGAACUGGAAAAUAUUUGCAUUUCAGUAAUUUCAUUUGCUGCAUUGGGGAGAAAUAAAAUAUAUUGUAUGGUGUUUUGUAUUCCUGAUAUCAAAUUU